AUUAAAUGUCAAAUAUCAAUUAAUGAUUGAAGGAACAUUCACAUUUACUAAUUGAGUAGAAAACUUGGAGCCAUUGUAAUGACCACAGUGAAUAUGGAAUUCUCUACAAAUAAAAUGUUCGGAGAUUUUGAGUACUGUGUUUUCCCUGUUUCUUGUCACCCUGCUGAUACUGAGGAACCAACACAUACAAAAGAUGGCUGAGAAACCUAGCACUGGACCUGCACUUCACAGUUUGUGUUACAAAACAAGACUGAGCAAUAUGUUAAAAAAUGCCUGGGGAAGCCACUGCACUGAAAAGCAGUCCCCAGAGCUGGCAAAGCCUUGCCUGAACAUUGGGUCCUGGGAGAUCUACAACUGCCAAAUUCCCAUCAGAGUGUGUGUGGAGACAUAGGAAUCCCUGAGAGGACAUCUCAGACAAGGACUCUUAGAACUGCUGACUCCUUCAUCCCUUCUGCAAUGCCAGCCAUCUGAACUAAACGCUUUGGUCAGAGGUGACGGCUCCUGGGGCUCUUGACCCUGAGAGUAGGAAUGCCUUGGAGCACCUAAUGGGGAGCAAAGCUGCAUAGUUUUUACAGACCUAAAGGCCCAGAUAUCCUUGAAUCCCCAUGGCUGAGCUGGCAGAGAACAGGCACAUGUCUUGUGGAAAUUUGUUGAAACUGAAAUGUCACUGUGAAAACUUCUGGGUUCAGUGUUUUGACAUUUUUCACUGAAUAAACAUUCAGUUGGAAAAUUCUUGACCA
rnacentral:lncRNA from 1 species